GACGAACGCUGGCGGCGUGCCUAAUACAUGCAAGUCGAACGCUUCUUUCCUCCCUAGUGCUUGCACUCAAUUGGAAAGAGGAGUGGCGGACGGGUGAGUAACACGUGGGUAACCUACCCAUCAGAGGGGGAUAACACUUGGAAACAGGUGCUAAUACCGCAUAACAGUUUAUGCCGCAUGGCAUAAGAGUGAAAGGCGCUUUCGGGUGUCGCUGACGGCUGGACCCGCGGUGCAUUAGCUAGUUGGUGAGGUAACGGCUCACCAAGGCCACGAUGCAUAGCCGACCUGGGAGGGUGAUCGGCCACCCUGGGACUGAGCCACGGCCCAGAGUCCUACGGGAGGCAGCAGUAGCGAAUCUGCGGCAAUGGACGAAAGUCUGACAGAGCAACGGCGCGUGAGUGAAAAAGGCUUCCGGAUCGUAAAACUCUGUUGUUAGAGAAGAACAAGGACGUUAGUAACUGAACGUCCCCUGACGGUAUCUAACCAGAAAGCCACGGCUAACUACGUG
rnacentral:rRNA from 1 species